GUGCUCACUUCGGCAGCACACAUACUAAAAUUGGAAUGAUCCAGAGAUUAGCACGGCCCCUGCACAAGGAUGACACGCAAAUUCGUGAUGCGUUCCAUAUUUAG
ensembl:snRNA U6 U6 spliceosomal RNA